GUCCCCUUCGUCUAGUGGUCAGGACACCGGGUUUUCAUCCCGGCAACAGGGGUUCAACUCCCCUAGGGGAUG
rnacentral:tRNA from 1 species